rnacentral:lncRNA from 1 species
CGCUGUGGAAAGCUGUGGAGCCUUUAGGAAGUGGAAUUUUCUAGAGGAAGUGAGUCGCUGGAGGUGGAGCUUCAGCCCUACUUCCUGUCUGCUGUCUAUUUCCGGACACAGACAGUAUGACCAACUAUCUCCACCUCCUGAUGCCACCCGUGCCUUCCCCGCCAUGAUGGACAGUGUCUCUUCAAACUAAUGGCUAAAGAGGCUGCAACAGAGUUCAAGGGAGGCUGUCUGAGAGGCAGACACAAGAGGCUGAUAGGGUGGAAAAGAGGAUGUCUGGAGAAGAGGGCACUGGGUCAAACAGUGAACUUGCUGGAUGUCUUGUUGGAGACACUCUGCAAUGUGAGUCACAGGGACACAAGCUUCAUCCAAGUCUCAGGUUUUAUGUGAGGUGGAGAGGUAAGCAAUGGAGUCUUGGAAGCCAUAGAGAAAGGGCAGGACCAGAUCCAGACAAACUAACGAUGGAUGGACAGACAAUGUAUUUGAGUUAGCCUCUGGAAGAGUCAGAUGUCUUCUGCCUCUUGGUCCCUUACCACACCCACCGGAUAUCAGACGACAGGUCAGUGGGGCCAUGGCCACGACAGUGUUGUGUGUCCUUUUUUUCAUGAGGCCAGGUGAGGGAGUGCAUCUUUCCUGGUCUGGUGCAUUGUUACUCUUGCAGAGGACCUAGGUUCAGCUCCUUGCACCCCCCCCCCCCCGUGAUGACUCACAACCAUCUGUACAUCCAGUUCCACCAAUCCAAUUCCCUCUCUGGUGCCUCCAAGGGCAGCAGGUGUGCAUGAGUUGCACACACAUACGUGCAGGCAAAACACUCAAACACAAAAGAAAAAGAAAUAAUUUUUAAUGGUGUCAAAAGCUGCAUAUGCCAGGCAUAAUGAAUGGCACACACCUUUAAUCUUAGCACUAGGGAGGCAGAGGAAGGUGGAUUUCUGUGAGCUCCAGGCCAGUCUAGUGUACAUGAGAACCUAUCUUAAGAAAACAAAACAAGCUGGGUAGUGGCACACAUCUUUAGUACCAGUACUUAGGAUGCAGAGGCAAGCAGACCUCUGUGAGUUCAAGGCCAGCUGGGUUUACAAAGUGAGUUCCAGGACAGCCAAGAAAACAAAACAAACCAACAAAAAACUCCUGCAUGUAAAAUGAGACUUUUCAGGAAGGCAUACCACCCUAAAAAAACACCCUUUUGCACACUAUGGGGUAGCUUAGGGCAAAGCACACUGAACCCAUAGCAGAGCCAAAAUUUUACAGAAAAGAUUAAAGAAAAGCCAGGAAAUAUUCGUUGAUUUAAGUUGUCAACAUCGUGGGAAAGCUCUUUCUGGGAGGCAAGUUUAUCCUGUGACUGGCACCAGGGGCAAAACCUUUCCCUUCCCCCAGCAUUGCAAUUCCUGGGGAGAUUUAAUUCUUUGGGUGCCUUUGUUUCCAUAGUCUGAUAGAGGAGGGAAGGUUACAAUGGGAUUCUGGGGAAAUUUUAGUUCUUUGGGGCAGUUUGUCUACAUAGCUUGAGGAGGUCACAGGGCAGUUGCAGUCUCCUCAUUUUAGCUGGGGCCUGGGUGGGAGUUUCCUGGAAGCUGCCUUAGGGAUUCUUAAACUUAACCUAGGCUCCUCCAUCAAGUCCACUUCCUCUUCUCCAGGCCUCACUUUCUUAGCUGUGUCUGCAGUGCCAAGCUGGCCAUCUUUGUCCUUCCCGUACCCAAGUCAGAGAGUUCCCUGUAGAGCCAGUCCCCAUCAACAUUUUAAUAGUCUGCACGUUUCCCAAAACCCUUCUACAAACUGGAAUGGCAUCUAGGGCCAGUUUAAACAAGUCUAUUUAUAAAACUCAAUAGUAACAGUUCCCUAAUGUCCACGGGGCCUGAGGCAAUUCCACAAAGGAUGACAGAGACAUUGUGUGUGUGUGUGUGUGUGUGUGUGUAGAUAGAUAUGACACAAUCAUUUGAAAAAGUAAAGAUAGUUUUUAAAAACCAAUAAAUCUUUUAAAUCACUUUUAAAUGUCCUCAUAACACUCCAGACAGAAACAUAUGAAAAGCUGUUGUUAAAUGACUUCGAGUUGACAAAGAGCAGAAGGAAUCUGUGCAGACUUGAUCAUGCCUUCACCCGCACGCCCCUUCCCCAGGCUGGCCAAUGAGGCACUAAGUGACAGUGUAAUUGUAACUCAGGCUCCUACUAGCCUUAAUGUUUGUCUUCACUUUAACGGAAACAUCGCCUCUGUUGCUCCCAUCACUCCUGUGCUACAGUCCUGUCUGUGGAUGGUAACCACUUCUUGAGUCAUUGAGGUUCCCAGGUUGCUUUGCAUAAGAAUUCAUCUUCAAGAAACCUCAAUCAGCUAAUACAGAAAUUAAAAUGGUCAAUGCAAGUCUUGAAUUGUACCAGAAAUCCACACAUUUAAAUACUGCAUGAAGUUUCCAUAAAAGAGAUUAGCAUAAAAUAUACAAAAAUGUUUCAAUUUUACCACUGAAACUAUUGCUGCUUGGAUGCUAUUCACUGUUCCUUGAAGUUACAUGGAGUUGUAUGAUGACACUCACAUUGAUGCCACUACUUAGGGGACUGAGGCAGGAAGAUUUCCAGUCAGCCUGACCUAAACAGUGAGUUUGAGGCCAGUGUGGGCUGUAUUGCAAGAUCCUGUCUCAAAAAUCAAAUCAGAACCAGACAACAGUAUCACGAUUUUCUAGAGGAGUGACAGAAUCGGCUGCUUGGCUUUGCACAUGUUCUCAUGGGUCCCCUAGAUCCAUGUGCACUAUUUUAAAGUAAUACAACAGGCACCGAGGUGGCUCAGCUGGUGGAUUCACUUGCUGGGAAGCCUGAGCCUGAUACUCAGGAUCCACAUGAUAGAAGGAGAAACCAACACCUCAGAGUUGUUCUCUGACCUCCACACAACAACUGUGGCGUGGAUAUACCCCUGCCAACAAAAAUGAAGUAUAAAGCAAACAAACAAACAAAAACUCAAAAACAAAACAAAAAAAACAAAAACAAAAAUUCUUUACAGUGGCACAAACAGCUUAACAUGGAAAAGUGCUUUUCAGACACCAGAGACAGCGCCGCAUGCGGCCUGUUGCCUUCAGGGAUUUUUCUGGACCUCACUAAUGGGAAAUAGGUGCUGAGCUCUAGAGGGGUUUAAUAAAGACUAUUUUGAAUCGUUUUCUUUCCCAGUGCUCCCAACAUGUGCAACUGAACAGCCUGCAAACUUUAUCAGCUCUGGGGUGACGCCUCCAGUCUCAAGGACACAGCUCUGUGGAGGAGCCUUUGAUUGGAACCUGGAACCGGGGCAGCGGUUUAGUGUUAGGGCCACUCUGUGCCAAGUCCAUGUGGGCUUUGCCGCGUUUCGUGGGAGGUGGUGUUUAUAAAGAUUUUGAUAUUCUAAAUCUUGCUCAAGGGCAGGCUCCUUUUGUCUACAACAAAUACGAAUCCAACUGGCGACAUUGCUGAGAACUAGAUGUUUGGGAAGUUCUUCCUAGAUGGGAGUGGAGUUUUCUGGAGGUCCUGUCCUUAAGACAUAAACACACAGAUAUGGCACUUCUGGGCCAGCAGGGGGCGCUCACUUUCCAUCCAAGCUGGCUGACCGCAGAACUAUGAGCCACUUACAUGCUCACUCACCCAGCGUGUGUGUGUGUGUGUGUGUGUGUGUGUGUGUGUGUGUGUGUGUGUGUGUGUGUGUGUGUGUGUGUGUGUGUGUGUGUGAGAGAGAGAGAGAGAGAGAGAGAGAGAGAGAGAGAUUCACUGACCAAAUAUUGUCUCAAAUCUAAGUCACACUGCAGCCCUGAGCCACUGCCUGGCACCCUGCUGAGCAACACAGCAAGAACACUGGGCACUUGCUUAACUCCAGUCCCCAAAGCCUGGGCAGCUCCAGGAAGGGCUGCUGGAGAUGAAGCUGGAGAAUCCUAGUGAGUUCCGGGGGCCCACAGUGGACUCUCCCUGAGGUUUCUCCUGGACAUACAGGAGAAAAGCAUUUUCAAACUUCCAUUUGGAGCUGGAGAGGUAGCUCAGCAGUUAAGAGCACCUGUUGUUGUUCUCACUAUUAUUAUCUCAUAUAUUACAUCCCAACCACAGUUUCCCCUCCCUUUCCUGCCCUGAUUCUCUCCCCACAUCUCCCCUCUCCCCCAGGUCUGUGCCCCCUUUAUUUCCCCUCAGAAAAGAGCAGGCCUCCCGGGGACAUCAACCAAACAUGGCAUAAUAUUCUACAAUGAAACCAGGCACAUACCAUCACAUCAAGGCUGAACGAGACAACCCAGUAGGAGGGAAAGGGUCCUAUAAGUAGGGAAAAGAGUCAGCAAACACCCUGCUCCAAUUGUUAGGUGUUGUGGAAUAUUAUUUUAACUGGGCAAAGAUGUGUUACAUCUGUUUAUGCUGUGGAAUGUUACUUUGACUGUGUAAAGGUGUGUUUCUUUUGUUUAUACUGCAUUUGUUUAAUUAUAUAAAGAUUUGCUACCUCUGUUUCACCUUGCCUGCCAAAGGCACCUGAUUGAUGUAAUAACGAGCUGAACGGCCAAUAGCUAGGCAGGAAAAAGAAUUGGUGGGGCUGGCAGGCAGAGAAUAAAUAGGAGAAAUCUAGGCUCAAGAAAAGGAAGAAUGAGAGAAGAGAGAUGCCCAGGGCCAGAAGCCAGACAAUCACCAAUCAGCCAGACAUAGAAACAGCAAGAAAGUAAGAAAAAAAGUAAAAAGCCCUGGAGCAAAACAGGUUAUUUAAGUUAAAAGAGCUAGCCAGAAAUGUGCUCAGCUAGGCUGAGCAUUCAAAACUAAGACUGAAUCUCCGUGUCAUGAUUUGGGAGCUUCCCCAAAAGAAAAAAGCCUGGUACAAUUAGGAGUACCACAAGAACACCAAGCUACUCAGCCAUAGAUUUUUGCAGAGAACCUAGAUCAGACCCUUACAGGCUCCCUGAUACCUUCGAGCCCCUAUGAGUCCUGGUCAAUUGAUUCUGUGGGUCAUGUUCUCUUGGUGUCCCUGAGUCCUCUGGUUCCUUCAAUCCUCCCCCCCCCCCCCCACCACCAACAGGACUCUCCGAAGGAGCACCUGUUUUUACAAAGGACUCCAGUUCAAUUCCCAGUACCCACAUGGUGGCUUGCAAUCAUCUAUAACUCCAGUUCCAGGAAAUCUGACACCCUCUUAGGCCUCAGUGGACCCUGCACACAUGUGGUACACAGACAUUAUAUAUGGGCAAAACACAUGCAUAAAAUUAACUAAAUAAAUAUGGUUUCUAAUCCUCCAUAUUGCAGAUGGUACUGUUCAGUGUAAUGUGCUUGCCUAGGAUGUCCAAAACUCUGGGUUUGAUCUUUAGCACUAGAGAGAGAGAAAAAAGAAAACCUUCAUUCUCUCUCUCUCUCUCUCUCUCUCUCUCUCUCUCUCUCUCUCUCUCUCUCUCUCUCUCAUUUUUAGGACAGGGUUUCUCUGUGUAGCCCUCACCAUCCUGGAACUUGUUCUGUAGACCAGACUGGCCUCAAACUCACAAAGACCCACCUGUCUCUGCCUCCCGAAAGCUGGGAUAAAAGUCAUGUUGUCACCACUGUCCAGCUUGAAAACCUCCAUUUUAAUUGGAAAAGGGGACAGUUGAGAGCUAGAUGCUAUAUUUGGUGUUUGGAGUCCAGGUCAAAGUUUAUCUAUUCUAGAAGGAUGAUCCAAGGAACUGCUAGGAUAAGAUGGUCCUGGAGUCACGUAAAAGAGCCUGGGUCAUGAGCCUGGGGGUUCCCCCAGAAUCACCCCUCAGUCAAACGUAGCACUGUGAGGCCAUGACAAGGGACCUGACACCUGAGACCACUGUUGGGUGAUUAAAGGUGGGCAGUGGUUGAAGCCACGUCCUGUGAGCGACGAAUGAGUUAGAAGUGAGAUUUCAUCACACAACUGAGAGGAGCACACAACUGAAAUCCUAGGAAGUCUUUAGUUCUAGAGUUUUCCAUUUAGUACUUUUGAAUGUCAGCCAACCAUGGUUCACUGAAACCUCAGAAAGAAAAACUUCAGGUGUGUGGGAGGCUGUUGCACCAUCACCAUAGUUGACAAGUGAGGACCCCAAGUUAAAAGACUUGGUUAUGUUGUCCAGCUGACAUUAGAGCUCAGAUCCAAACCCAUCCUGCUAACGAAGCCAUACACUGAACGCUGUAGGCAAUGACCAGGAAAUGGGCAAUUGCCACCAUGAGCCAACAAGGACAAAGGCCUCAGUUUCUGGGGGUAAAAGGCUGGAUUUGGAGCUGACGGCAUAGUCUCUAUCAGCCCUCCCUAAAACAAACUACAGUCUGAAUUGGAAACAUCUGCUCUGCUGAUUUGGCUGAUUCAUUCAACUUGUGGCCUUUCCCAGAAGCACCAUGGGAAUUCUUUAGUCUCUGUGGUCCUGCAGUUUGAGCUGCACAUACUCGUGGAGCGAUGGCCUGGUCAUGUGACCACCCACAAGUUUGUUUUAAUGUCAGUAUUUUAGGUGAGGCUACCAGGUUGUGCAGGUAUCAAGUGUGAACUUUAGGCUUCCCUUGUUCAGCCCCAGGACACAUGACAACAAACAUCACAAAUAUGGGGUUGAAAAGCAUCACUUUCCCUCUCAUAGUAUCCUGGAAGCCAAGCACAGCAGCUUUGUGGGUGUCAAGGAGGAACCCCAUUCCCUUAAGUGUGUUUCCUGUUGGCUGCUCAUGCUCCUUCCCCCUUUCCCAGGGUUCCCUCCAGCAGCAGUGGGUGAGUUUCUCCCAUGUUCUGUGCCCCGCUACACUUUUAUCUUCAGUGUCUCAGGACUGUAGCUAGAAAGGCUCUCUGCCUUUAAGGGCUCAUGUGACCAUGUUAGGCUCAUCCAUGUAAUCGAGGCUCUCCUCCCUAUUUUAAAUUCUGUCAUCUCAACUCCAUUCACAAAACUCCUUUUGCCAUGAGACAUCACAUAUUCACAGGUCUUGGGGACCGUGGUGGGGACAUCAGUGGGGAGGUAUUCUGCCUACAGAGGGUUAGGGGAAGAGUUUACGGAUCCUGGUGACAGAUGAUAACAUAAUGAAUCUGUUAUUUCUAAACGCAUCAAGACCUGUAAAAUCUCCCCGUUCUCCUGAGAGUCUUCCUCUAAAUAGAUCCCAACUAUGUGAGGAGAGGCGUGGUAGGAAUGUGUUUGAGGGGAGAGAGUGUAGGGUGGGGCCGUAACUGAUUUCCGCUGUCUUCUCUUUUGGAUCGGACUUACUCGGUGGCAAGUUUCUUUUGCUUAAAGCACUGUUUGACAAAUGUCACCUUCUCCAUGGAGACCACCCGUUUCUCAUCAUCACCAGCUGCCCCUCCUCCAACCGCCCACUCCCACUGCUAUUUGGAGUUGAAAGCUGUUCACUUUCAUAAAAUCCUCACCCUUGAGGUGUGUGUGGGUGCUGCUUAAUUCUCUCAUUGGAUACUGAUUUUAUUUAGAAAUCACUUAAAGGAGUCGUUAAAAAUGAAAAUUCCUGGGCAGUUUCUGGGAAACUGGAAAUGUUGCUUAGAUAUCUGGGUGUCGUGGCAGCAGAUACCUCUCUCUACUCUCAACAUUUGGGAGGUGGAGGCAGAAGGAUCAAGCGUUAUCCUUAGUGGGGUCAAGGCCAGCCUGAGUAGCUGAGUGAGAUUUUGUCUCAAAAAGCAAACAAAACAGCAACCAAUGAAAACAACAGAAAGAAAGAGAAGAAAGAAACAUUGCCUAGAAGAGGGUCUAGCUCCUUAUUCCCAACAAGCUAUGGGGCCCAAAUGCAGAUCUUAGCAUCUUCAGUGUCCAGAGGCCUCUGAUGAGAUACUGGAUUUGAAACGUCGCCACCCCAUGGUAGGAGAAGGAACUGCACCUCUGGUGUCACUGGACUGAGUUCCUGAGAGCUUAGCUCCUGUGCUCACAUUUCUUGUGUACAGUGCAUGCUAUUCAGGGCACUGGGGCUCCCAAAUAUGUAUCCUUCAAAAUUUGGUUAAAAGAAGGAAAAGUUAGGAAGACUCUCAGAGGUCUAGUAGUAGAAGUAUCGUUCAUGGAUGAGCAAUGCCCCUGGGCAAGCAAGCAGUCAUUAACACAGGAAGAGGGAACAGGAAAGAGACAUACAUUGGGUCCCAUAGUUUGAGUAGCUGAUCGAGGCACCCAGGCUGACACCUCUGCAGAGCCUCCAUUGUCUGGGGCUGAUUGGCAGGUGAGCCACCCUUCUGGUUGCCACUUGAACCCUGGGGCCUCAUCACCUCCCGACUGUGAAGCCCUAGUCCCCAUCUGCUUCCUUGGGAGUGUGGGUCAUAUUCACUCUUCCUUUUCCCUCAGUAACUGCCGGCUUCAUCCAGCCCCACCCCUGAACAAAAGCCCUGAUCCCCAGAGGCCCAGCCUCAGUGGGACCAGUUGAAUCUUUUAUCUUCAGUUUUGGAAAGUCAGGUCCUGAGUCCUAUUGUAUGUGACAUCCUUUCCAGCUACUUAAAAUGUCUGGAUUAGAUCUCCUGUUUUAUCAGUCUGCUGCAAACAGUGAAGCCUGGCCAGAGGCAAACUCUUUGCCACAGGCACUUCCUGCCCAGAGAAAUUGUUCUGGAAAUUUCCUGAAUGAAGCACCCAGUCUCCAAAAGAGGACCUGGUUUUUAAGAGUCUUCUAGGAGAUGCAAAUUCAGGCGGCAAUGUCUCCAAGAACAGAAUGGACCCCUUGACUUUUCCCUGCUUGGAAGUCAGAUGAAGUCUCCCUUAUGACUGCAGAUCUUUCUCCUAGGCCCACUCUUAGUUCCUACAGAACUUUCUUUAGGCCCAGGCAUGUGGCCGGCCAUCUGGUGACACCAUGGGGCUGUGGAUCUUCAAGGUCACCUAGACACUACAUCUUACAAAAUUAGCAUCAUCUGGGAAUGGUGCUCUUUGCUUCGCCCCUCAACCAUCAAGAGGAAGGCAUUCCACACAGGCCUCUGCUGUGACAGGAUGCUCUGGGACCCCUCAGAGCCUGCUGAUGCACAGUCAUUUUCUUUUAAGAUUUAUUUUAUGAGUGUGAUUUAAAAAAAAAAAAAUUGUGUCUGCUUGCACGUAUGUUCCUCCUUGGUACUCUCGGAGACCAGAAGAGGAAGUCAGAUCCCUUGGAACUGGUGGCUUUGAGCUGCCAUAUGGGUGCUGGGAUUAAACCUGGAUCGUCUGAAAGAACGGCCAGUUCUCCUAACCACUAAGCCAUCUCUCCAGCCCUGUAUGCAUGUAUAUAUUUGUGUGCAUGUGUAAGUGGACAUGUGUGUACAGUGCCGGCAGGGGCCAGAAGAGGGCACCAGAUCCCUCAGAGCUGGGCUUAGGGUUGGUUGUGAGCCACCAUUGUAAGCACCUGGAAACCAGCUGGGGUCCUCUCUAAGAGCAAGUGCUCUUAACCAGGGAGCCAUCUCUCCAACCUCUCCAUUUGCUUUCAGCAGCAGUAGUGUGUGUGUGUGUGUGUGUGUGUGUGUGUGUGUGUGUGUGUGUGUGUGUGUGUGUGUGUGUUGCAGUCUUUACAUAAUUUCUGAUUUAUUUUUUCCCCCUUUUUGGUGGAGAAUCCAUAAAGACAUUGGCUUUAGCGGUCCCCUAGCUCUCAGCGAUCUCUCAUCCAGACAGGAUGCAGUCUCCUCUUUGAACCUGGCUUUGCCAAGCAGAGUUACCCUCCUUCAGGAAUGGCAUGCAUGCUUGGAAUGUGAUUUUAUCUUAUCGGCCUCCUCCCCAGCUGCCAAGGUCCUAGCCAGGCUCCAUGGAGGGUUCCAGAAACUUUUUCUCUUUAAAGCCACUUGCCAGGAGCCUGCCCACUGCUCUUCUAGUUUCAACCUGUUGCUUCUGGGUCCCUCCUCUCCCAAUGACCUCUGGCCUCCUGCAAUGCUGAAUGCCUUGCGGGCGGGAGUGGGGGCUAUGGGGGAGAGGAUAAAAAUCAAAGUGAUUCUAGAAACUUCAUUGUGUACUUUGAUGUUUUGAAAAUUCCGUGGUGGAAGAAUAUGGAGUUCAGCUUUUAAUUAAUGAAAGCCCACCCCGGGGGACCAAACUAUGGGAUUAAGUCAAUAAUAAGUUCCAAAUCCAGGAAGCAGAUGUUCUGAGGUGCGUUUAUUUAUUCAGCAUGGACACGUGUGGUGCCGUGAUCUGGCUGCCUAAGUGCUCUUACAAGACCGGAAAUCCUUCCCAAGGAAUUUUAUACACGAGAAGCCCCUUUCCUGCCUCCUAGUUUCCAAGACUAUGCUUUGAAACUUAACACCUGGCUGGCUCGGUUCCCUCUGCAACUCAAGGUCUCCAUCAUCUGACCUUGAGCCCAUGACCUACUUGUUAGGGGAGCCUCCCUGACAGUAGGGAAGGUGAUAAAUUACCCCACAUAUAUUUGCCUUACAGACUAUUGUGUUGUCUUUAAGAAGAACGGUGCUUUAUUCUAAGAAAAUGACCGAGCACUGCGGUACCGUUCCACCGUGAACUAGCCCCAGGUAAAUUAUUUUAUCUGUGUAAUAAAUAAUGAUUUUAGAAAGCUUAAGGGAUUGGGAGGGAGUCCCAGGGCUCAAUUCACAGUGUGCUUUUUGCUUUUUGGAGAUCUGGAUUUACAAAAUGAAACUGAUUCUCCAGCUGCCUCAGGGGCCAAUGCUUUGGUUAAUUUAAUUUUCUGGAUACAUAAAGCUAAUCCAGAGGUUUGUUUCAGCUCUUGCAGUUGAAAAAUCUUUGUUCAAUGUGACAGCUGGAAAUGCAGACUACUCCCUUUCUGAGAUAGAAUGUGUGGGUAGUCCUGGCACUAACGUUUCAAUCAAGAGAGAUCGAAGGACUUGUGUGAUGGAGGCAUUCUAGGGGGUCGUGUAGCCCACAAUGGACCCCUUAAACUGCCUUUUACACUAAGGUAGGUGCUGGCUUCUUGCAGAAAGUGAUCAGUUCUCUGGUUAUGGCAGGGAUGUCACCUGACCCCACAAAGCUAGAGAACUGGAGACUUUCUUCUAAAUAUUGGGGACUACACACAAGACGUUAAUUUCUCCCAUGGGCUGGGAUCAUAACAUGUAAACCUGGGAUCUGGCAUUGGCCACUUCUUAUUCCAUUUUAUAUAUUUAUUUAUACUUUGUAUUCUUUUCAGUAUUAGGGAGUGAACCUAGGGCAUGAAGAAUCUGAGGCAAGCUCCUUAUUGCUGAGCUAGGUCCCCACCUCUCUGUCUUAGUUAGGUUUCCUAUUUCUGUGACCAAAAGCAGCAUGGAAAAGGUUUACUCCAGCUCACAGUUUGUAGUUCAUCCAGGGAAAUGGGGCAGUAUCUCAAAGCAGGAACCUGGAAGCAGGAGCUGAAGCAGAGGCCAUGGAAGAAUGCUGCUUACUGGCUUGCUCCUGGUGGCUUGCUCAACCUGCUUAUAGAACUCAGGACCACCUGCCCUGGGACUGGCACCACCCACAGUGAGCUGGGCCCUCCCACUUCAGUUGUCAAUCAUAAAAUACAUCACAGGCUUGCCAAUAGGCUAAUGUGGUAGGGGCAUUUCUUAGUGUCUCUUCCCUCUUCCAAAAUGACUCUAGCUUGUGUCAUGUUGACAUAACACUAGCUAACACACUUUUUUUUCCUUUUUUUUUUAAAUCUUAAGAUGAGGCCUUCAGAAGCUGUCCAGGCAGGCCUUUAACUCACUUAAACCUGGGCUGGUUUUGAAUUUAAUAAUCCCCUCCUAUCUCAACUUCCCAGUUGCUGGGGUGACAGGGCUGCAUCAUCAGGCUGGCUGGCAGCCAAUUCCAUACACCAGAUAGAUGGUGGAACAGAAGGAGUCUGUCUGGAAGGAGUCUCAAGAAAAAGGAAUUCAAAAUGGAGGCACUUUGGUUCGGGCAAUUCAACAGGUGUCUGGAGGCCAUUGGGCACACCCACCCAGAAGCAAGCUCACCCUGGAAGUACUGCUGACAUCCCCUAGCCCCCUCCCACAGCACUCCCACCCACCAAGUGAGCCAGAGGCUAAGCUAUCCCCAAGCUCUUCUUAACAGCUUAACUUUAAAUUCCUGACUAAUGGAUGAUGUCAUUGCCAGCCCCUUGAGGCUCAAAGCUAAACACAGAGCAUGUUUUUCUAGGCAGCUGGAGCCUGUGUUUUCCUAGACUGCAACCCUAAUUAGCCCCAAACAAAUGCAAUGCUCUUUGUGUUCCAGUGGGCUGAAUUUUCCCUUUUCUGAAUCUGCUUUGGGUGUCAAGUCUAACAAGACAACUUGGACCAGCCCUCUCCUCUCCUUCCUUCAUCUGAAAGAUUUCUGUUUUAGAUUCAAGUCUGUGAUG